GGGGAUGACGGAUUUUGACAGGACUUUAAAAUUUUCCUAUAUGCAAGACGAGCUAGCCUCGAGUAACUCGCAAAUCCACUCAGGCAUCAUAAAUGCUUACAACGCAUCUUGGGAAAAAGUAAAAGCCGCUUUCGCGACUGCUACUUUAUCUCCCGUAUUAGCUUAAUUUUAAGUUAAUGCCUUGCCCCGCGGCCCGCCCCGGCCGCGGAUAAGCAAGUUCAUUGGGGCUGCCGUUUAUCGGUUUGGUUUGCGCCGGUGAGCCUAAGCUAAGUAAACCAACUUUAAUGAUAUCUGGUCAGCUCCUGUCAUUAAAGCUUAUGAGCUGACUAAUCUUGUGAACAAUGGGGAAGUUAAGAAGCCCUGGACCCGGGUUUAACUCCCGGCAUCUCCACCA
rnacentral:tmRNA from 1 species